rnacentral:rRNA from 1 species
CAGUCGCCACGGUAAUACGUAGGUGGCGAGCGUUGUCCGGAAUUAUUGGGCGUAAAGGGAGCGCAGGCGGACAUAUAAGUCCAUCUUAAAAGUGCGGGGCUCAACCCCGUGAGGGGAUGGAAACUGUAUGCCUUGAGUGCAGGAGAGGAAAGCGGAAUUCCCAGUGUAGCGGUGAAAUGCGUAGAUAUUGGGAGGAACACCAGUGGCGAAGGCGGCUUUCUGGACUGUAACUGACGCUGAGGCUCGAAAGCCAGGGGAGCGAACGGGAUUAGAUACCCCAGUAGUCCCUGUCUCUUAUACC